ACAUGGCUGCUUUUCUCGGUUUGUAGCCCUUAAAAAAGAAGAAAUCAAGAUUUUCAUUUUAUGUGUAUAACUGUACUCAAUCUGUAGAUCUAGUAAAAAUACAUGUCAGGUAUCUAAGAUUCAUUUUCACCCUCAAACUGUGUAAGAGUAUUGAUUCCAUAUAUUAGGAGAUGUAAUGGUGAGGAACAAUAAGUUAAUUUUUGUAAAGUAACUGAAUAAGUUGUUUCAUUUUUUGCCUGUCAGAUCGUUUGCAAGGAUAAACACUGUCCUGUUCAUUAAUUAAUCAGAAAAAAAUACUUUUUUCUUCACCUGUUACCUGUAAAUGCAAAUAAUAAGCUUGUUGCUGUUUCUUUUUUAGUUAUCUUCAUUUAUUGACUGUAAUAAUCAAAGUUGAACUCAAAAAAUUUUCAUUUAAGGUUCCACGAUACUGAUUUACAAUUCGAAAAGUUUACAGCUCUUUUAAACUACAAUAAUUUCUGAUAUAUAGCUUCUCUGCACUUGCUGACAUCUAAAUAUUAGAAGCUCUUAACACCCAAUGUAGGGUUUGGUUGUUGUGCAUGUAAACUCAUGUUCUCUAUGUUAUCAAAUAUUUUAGGUGAAGAAUUUCAUUCUUCUUGGGGAUAUUCACAAGAGCAUUUACUUUCUCAGUUGGAAGGAACAGGGAGCUCAACUUACUUUAUUGGCCAAAGAUUUUGGCUCACUUGAUUGUUUCGCACAACAGAAUUUCUAAUCGAUGGGAGUACUCUUAGCUUAACAGUUUCAGAUGAUCAAAAGAACGUACAGGUUAGUAUGUGUAACUAUACGAGUACUCGUGAUGUUAGAGGCACUUUACGAUGACAAGCAAUACUUACUAGAAUACCAGUUGUUUUGCUUUGUUCUAGACAUACUAGAUAUCUUUGCUUACACUAUAAAUCCCUGAAGAACUUUUCUUUGCUGAUAGUUGCUUACUUGCUUAAAUCAGUUUACUGUCUAACACCUAGCCUCUUCCAUGAAAGUGAAAAGAGUUAUCCACUAGGUAACAACGUAAAGGAUAUGAGUUUGGUGACUUUGGGAUUUUUUAGUAGAUAACUUAUAUUUGCUGUGACAACUGAACUGACAAAACCUAGUGGUAUUAAUUCCAUCUUAGUCAUGUCGCAGCUGCUCUUUCGUUUUCCUUUAAAUUUUUGUAUUGAGAUUAAUAUAUAACUGAGUUCGUGUUGUAAAAUUUAAUAAAUUUUAAUUCUUUCAUUGCAAGAUACGUUUAUUAAACAACAAAACUGCAACAUGGACUUUACAACUGCAAAAACAAUCACUAAUUUAGCUUAAAACAGUUUGAGUUAAUUGUUUAUACAAAAUUGCUUAUAAAAUGAUGUGAUUUUCAUCAUUUGUCUUCUGCAGAUUCUAUUAUACUAACUUGUUAGUAUUCUAUGAAUUUAAUUAUUAUUGAUGUUUUCAUAUUAUGAUGUGUUAUUGGUAGUUAGUAUUUAGUAAAAUAUAUUAUAGUAUAUAGUUUUUUUUUUUGCUAAAUAUAUAGUAUAUAGUUUUGUAACUACUAUACUACAUAUGAAUGCCUUAGGCCUAUACAGAGGCCAUAUCGCCAUAUUGUUGUGAAGGUCCUUCAGCACCAUAUACUGACACAACCAGAAGUAUAUAACAUUGUGCAACACAUUCUAGUUCAAAUAGUUGUAGUCAAUAAAAUACUACUGAAAUCAAAUUGUGUUGAUAUUCUAUAUAUCUUCUUGGAAAUCCCCCCCCUCCCCCCAAGAAAAAAAUAAUAAUAAUAAAAUAGUAAUAGUAGUAAUUUGACCUCCUAAUUUGCAUUGCCUUCACACUCACGACACAUGUCGGUAUCAGUGUUCUUUUUGGUCAAUAAUCAAAAUAUAUCCUAGUUAAUUACCAUGUUUAAGUUUAGUUGUAGAUUAAUGAAAGUUGUGAAGUAUUCUUAACUAACAUUCCAGAUAAUGUAUUUGGAUUUCUUGAUUGUAUUAAAACAGAUAUUCUAUUAUGCACCCAAGAUGUCAGAGAGCUGGAAAGGACAAAAACUUCUUUCUCGAGCUGAGUUUCAUGUUGGUGCUCAUGUUACCAAGUUUCUGAGGUUGCAGAUGCUUCCUACACCUGAUCGAACCAAUGUUGCUGCAGUCCCUGACAAGACAAAUCGUUUCGCUCUUUUAUUUGGGACUCUGGAUGGCAGUGUCGGAUGUAUUGCACCUCUAGAUGAAUUAACAUUUCGUAGACUUCAGUCCUUGCAAAAGAAACUUGUUGAAUCUGUGCCACAUGUUGCUGGAAUGAAUCCAAGAUCUUUUCGUCAAUUCCAUUCGAAAGGAAAGGCUCACCGGCCUGGUCCAGACAGCAUAGUUGACUGUGAACUUCUUUGUCAGUAAGUACUUGUAUUUCCUGCACUUUGAUUUUCAGUUGGAGAACAAAAAUCUAUUUAGUAUACUACUGUGGGUGGUUUUGUGCUACAUUUUGUAAGUGAAUGUUUCUAUUGGAGCAUGGUCAAAGGAGUUCUUUUCCGUCAUUUUGGGUUUAUGGUUUUUUUUUUUAAUUUCUGGUUUUGUCUCUGUAAAUGGUAUCGAUGAUCAAGUUGGCGGCUUAGCUGUGUUUCAGAUGUUAUUAUAGACCCCCACACCUUGUAACACCAGACAUAUGGGGUCAAUUUUAUGUUCAAAAGUUUGUUACCAACAACAAAAAUCUUCUAACUGAUUUAAGAAAUCCGUCUUCUAAAUUUUGCAGGUUUGAAAUGCUUGUAUUGGAGCAGCAGCAUGAGAUUGCUAAUCAGAUAGGGACAACACGUUCACAGAUUGUGUCAAAUUUAAAUGAUCUUGCUCUUGGUACAAGUUUCUUAUGAGGAACAGCCUGUUAAAUGACAAACUGCAGGGAAUUAGCGUGACAAAUUAGGUAGACCACUGACGGGCUAUAUACCCUAGCUUCUUGUUUGUAAAUUGUGAUGAAAUCUCUGCAGAAUUGUAAUUGGUUGGCCUUCUCUGUCAUCUAGCUGGCUAAUAGCAUUUGUUGUAGAACAUAUGGUGUAAUUAUUCUUUAUCAUACAAUUAGAAUUCAUAGUUGCUAAAUACAGUCAUUUUUGUUUUGUGCAGUUCGCAGAGAUUACAAUUGUGUCCUUCCUAAACUUCUGUGCCAUACCAUGAUACAAAAGAAAGUCAACCCCAAUUUUUUGUGCACCUUGAACAGGAUUAAUGUAUCGCGCACUAACUAAUUACUCCAUUUAAUUAUCUUUUUUCAACUAUUAAGUGAUGCAUGAAUAUUAUUUAAAUUAUUAGGCUCUAAUGGGCUAAAAUCUCCAUAACUUAAAAUAUUACAAAGUUAACACUAAUAUUUGAUAUGUUAUUUUAGUCAAAAUAAAAAGUACUUGGAUUUUUUUAUAAUAUAACUUUUAGUUGGCCUAAACCUUUUAACAUGUAUUAAGAAUUUACAAAGAUAAUUUAAUUGUAUAAAUAAUCUUUAUUCAUAUAAUUUUUAUUUUAACUUUAUGUAUAAUUAUAUAAUUUAAAUAUUUGACUUUAUAUAUAAUUUUAUCAACGUCUUUAUUUUUUUAUCGAUGUGUUUAAUUUUUUUUUUUACUUUGUUCAUUCUCAUUUAAUCAAAACAACUUAAAAUUUUGAAACUCUACCAACACGACCAAUUUCCAAUAAUAUAAAAUAUUAAAAAUUUAACACUAGUGUUUAAUAUAAUAUUUUAGUCAAAAUAAAAAAUACUUGAAUUUUUUAUAAAAUAACCUUUAGUUGGCCUAAAUUUUUUAUUAAGUGUUAAAAAUUUAGAAAGAUAAUUUGUUAUAUAUAAUUUUUAUUUAAAUUUUUGUUUACUUUGUUUCGGUAUGUAUGUAUAUAUGUAUGUAAAAAUUAUCAUGAUUGAAUUAUUAACUCAUAUUAUAUUCUUUAAAUAUUGUAAUCAUUAUUUUAGAUCUCUUUGAACAAAAUUGUCGGGUUUUGAUUCAAAUUUCAUGAAAACUAUGGAUGCUACUCUAAAAGCUAGAGUCGGGAGUGGAAGUAGCUGUAUGUUUUUAUUUUUAAUAUUGAAUAUUGUCACGUAUUUUAAUAUAUUUUUUAAAUACAUUGUUAAAUAUGAAUUAUUAAUAUAAAUUUUAAAUGCAUUUUAAUGUGUUAAAUGUUUCUUCCCUUCUUUAAUUUCCUAUUCUUUUAUUUAAAUAAAAACUUGAAUAUAUAUAUAUAUAUAUUCAUAAUUUAUUAAUUAUAAUUUAAAUCUUAACACCAUUUUAUUAGUAUUUUAGUUUUGAUGAUUUGGAUUUUAGUUAAAUUAUAUUAACUAACUAAUUAUAUCUUCUAACGGAAAUUUAGCUUUCACAAUUUAUUACCUAUCUAUAAAUAUUUUUCUGAUAUUAAUAUGUGACAGUUUAUUAUUCAAUUAAUUUUAAAUCAAAAUUUUCAUAUUUCAUAUAUCUUCGUAUGUUCCGUAAUAAUUCGUGUUUGUAAUGAAAUCGAACACGUUGGAGUUAAAUUUCGAGUAGAAUACGUUAUAAUUAAAAAGUAGCGUCUCUAAUUAUUCAUAUUUAUUUUAGACAAAAGAUAUUCAAAAUUGUAUAUUUAUAAUUAGUUAUACAUUUAUCUAUAAGUAUUUUUUAAUAUUAAUAUAUGUUAUUACCAGUAGUUUCACCUUUUUUCAACUAAUUAUAAAUUAUAUUUAAAAAGAUAUUAAUAUACAUAAGGAGUGUUUUAGUAUAUGAAACUGUUUAAUAGAUAUCUACUUGUAGACUUUUAUUUUUAGAAGAGAGUACCAAACCAAACUUACUUUCAUGUCAUGCACGAGUCAGUGUCCAUGCAGACUACUUUAAUAACAACCGUUUGAUUUAACGUUUUAUUUUUUAAAAUUUUGACGGACUGAUAUAGUUUUUGAAAAUAAUAUUUUAAAUUUUAUCGAAAAUUGAAGAAUGACCGGCAUCGGUGGAUAAUUAACCCAUUACUUUCCCGUUCGAUAGAAGUAUGAAGUUGUAAUUCAUUCCACAGCCCCAAAUCAGUGCUUCUCUACCAAUACAAACAAACACACCCCGCCUUAGCCUCAGGGUUUAACCCCCUUUCUCUCUUCAAAACCCAAUCUUCUUCUCCUCCUCCAAACCCUAGAAAUCAAAUUAAAUUCCGAACAAUGAGCUACGCAGCGUUCAAAAUGAUGCACUCUCCUACCUCAAUCGAGACCUGCGCAUCAGGUUACAUCACACACUCCAACCAACUCCCUAAACUCCCUUCUAUUCAGACCGAAGACUCCGAUUGGCUUUCGAUUAAGCCAAAUGUCACCGCUUCGAUACCGAAUUUAGUUGUCACCGCUGCGAAUGUUCUCGAAGUUUACGUAGUUAGAGUUAGUGAGGAUAGUGGUGGUAGUGGUAAGGGGAGUGUUGUGGACAAGCGCGGUGGCGUUAUGGAUGGCAUUUCCGGUGCUUCGCUUGAGCUUGUUUGUCAUUACAGGUGCACUUUCUACUCGUAAUGUAUUGUAUAUAAAUUGUGAUAUGUAUCUGCAGUGGUAUGAUUACGAGAGAAUUUGAACAUUGCAAUGUAGCUUAUUGUAUUGAUAUGUGCUUUAUUGUCAUUAGAGCUGUGUUUCUGAUAUGUGGUGUUGUGUUAUGGUUAUAAAUUGCAAUGUACAUUGUGUGUGCAUGAUAGGCUAAUUGGUGAAGUAAUAUUAUGAUAGAAUUUGAAUAUAAAAUAUAGUUUAUGAUUCAAAUGUAGCAUUAGAAUGCACUAGUUGUAAAUAUACGGAAUUAAAUUCUCUUAGCUCUGUUUGCAUACCGGAAAAUAACUUGAUUUUAGAAAAUAUUUUUCCAUUUGACUCUAUCAUGAAAAAUUAUGCAAAUUUUGAGAAAAUGUUUCCUCUUCUGAGAAGGGAAAGUCAUUUUAUAGGAAUUUUCCUCUGGAAAAUUUCAAUUUUCCCAGAACCGGGGUCAUAACAAUUUCUAAAUUUUCUAAGUUUGUUUAAACUCUGGAAAAUAUUUUCUUAUAUGCAAACACACAUUGGAAAAGUAGGACCUUAUCAUACUUUUAGGAUUAACUUUUUGUAAUUUUUUUUGUCAAUAGGUGCAUUUUGGAUACAUAAAGUUUUAAGUAUUGUUAUGAUAUAGAUUAUGACAUAUGUUGUGUGUGGACAUUAUGCUAUAUGUUAAAGAAAGAAAAUGAUAGAAUUUGGAUAUGAAAAUAUAGUUUAUAAUCUAAGUAUGAAAUUUGGUUUAGGAGAAGUAGAGUUCACUAGAUGUAUGUAUAUGAAGUAAAAUUCACUUAAAAUACAUUUGGUUAAAUUGCAGUGCACAUUGGUGUUUAUGGUGCCUAUCGAACCUAUCCAAUAUUUGUUUUGUGGCAUAAUUACUAUAAGUACCUAUUAAACUCUCUCUCGUAAUAAUGAUAUGGAUGUAAGAAAUAUUGGACGAAGUGAUUAAUGGAGCUAGGCUGUAGACUGAGCUUCCGGCGUUUGAUUAAAAGAUUAAUUUAUCUAAUAUUUGAUAAGUAGAACUGUGACUAUAAGUUCCUUUUUAUGUUUAUAUCAUCAUUAUAAUAAGAAGUGUUGUAAAAAGUGGUAACUGGAGCCAAGCUGUUGACUGAACAUCUGUUUUUUAACUAAAAGAUUUACUGGUGCUUGUAUUUGAUUUGUGGAACUGUGACUGUAGUCUGCAAGUUCUUUUAACAUAGAUUACUGAGACAAUCUGCAGGUUACACGGCAAUAUUUACUCCAUGGCUAUAUUGCCUUGUGGGGGUGCUGAUGGCAGAAGGAGGGAUUCUAUAAUACUUACAUUUGAUGAUGCAAAGAUAUCCGUAUUAGAAUUUGAUGAUUCAGUCCAUGGAUUGCGCACAAGGUAAUUCAAAUGUUGAUAAGCUAAUUUAGGUGCUACUACAUAUAUUCCUUUACUCUAAUUUUGAUAUAAAUCUUUGAUUGUUACGGUACUAAAUAAUGAUGUAAAGGUGGAUAAAAGAAAAAAUUAUAAAAAGAUAAGUUGGGGAAGAAGUAACCCCAUUAAAUCCACUUGCCUUAGGGUGACUCAAAAGAGAAGCAUCUGUUUUGAUCGUAACCCAUAACUAGGGAGCAAUCUCAGUUUCAGUGAUAAAUUUUUAAGAUUAAAAUCUCGCAUCUCCUCAUGCAGGAGGAAAAGCCUAAAACUUAACCAAUGACAAUGCUAAUAACAUGGAAACAAGUGUAAUCAAUUGCUGCUUUUCACUAAUCUACAAACAUGGUAGAUAAAAAACAAAUCCUUUUAUUACUUUACUUCCAUAACCUAAAAUAUUUCCUCUGUAUAAUAUUUUAAGUAUCUAUUAUAAAUGAAAUAUUAUUUUAAUAGAAAUACUAAGUAUUUCCUUUAGUUUCUUGCUCAUCAUCAAGUACCAAUUUAUCAGUAUAUUUUUUUUAUAUAUUUCUGUAGUUCAAUGCAUUGUUUUGAGGGUCCAGAAUGGCUUUAUUUGCGAAGAGGUAGAGAAAAUUUUCCCACAGGACCACUGGUAAAAGUUGAUCCGCAAGGAAGAUGCGCUGGGGUGCUUGUUUAUGGCUUACAAAUGAUAGUCCUCAAGGCCUCUCAGGUUUCUCUUAGUUUUUACAUUCUGAUAAAUAAUUAUAGUUAUUCUUUUACACUUAAAGAUAAGUUCUUAAGAAUUCUUGGACAUGGUCAUACUUUGACAUUUAAAAAUGUGCCAAGGUUGGGGCAAUUAUACUGUAUGUUAUUAAUCUUUGACUUAAAUAUGGAAUUCCAUUUGUUGGUCAGCUCAUCAAGUAGUGUUAUAUACAAGGGGAUAUGACCUACAACCAUAACAUGGUCCUCAGAAGGUCUUGCGGUUUACAUAAUUUUACAAUACCUCUGGUACAUAUUACACACUAGCUUAAUACUAGUAUGCCCGUGAGAGUUAGAUUAUACAAAAUUGGGUGGUGACAAAUUGGUUAAACCAUAUCCUAUUGAGAAUGUUCAUAAAGGCCCUAAAGAAACUUUAGGUCUGCUGUGUGGUUUUGCAAGUCCAGAAUUGAUAACAAGAGAAUGAUUUUGGCUUUGGAAUGCAAGAACCGAGGACCUUACUAAGCCUCGUUUUGACUAGAAAUAGGAAGAUACCUUUGAAAUGGAUAAAAGCCUCUUGAAUUUCUAUAAGCAAAGUGUUGUCACAAUCUUCAUUAAUUCAAUUGCACACGAUGGUUAAUCUUGAAAGUGAUAGAAGGGAGAGUUCAAUUAUAUAAUCAAUAUUGCUUUGUUUGUGCAUGUCAUGCGGUAUUAAGUAUUCAUUAGUUGUAUAUGUGGUACUAAGAGCAACUUCAAUCCAACACUAUAACGCUAUUAUAGUGUAAAACCAACUCCAAUGCAACACUAAAAUGGCGUAAAGUUUACACUAAAUGGAUAGUGUGACACCAAAUUUGGUGUCGAAAGUACAUUUGGUGUAAUUUUUAAACCAAAUUUGGUGUCUUUCAUAAUUCCAACAAUGGCCUUGCUUUUGUUAAUAAAACAAAUUUGUUCCCUUUAUGUCAUAGAAAGAUUCCUUUUAGUGUAAAUUAUAGUGUCAAAAACAAAUUUAUUCCCUUUAUGUUAUAGAAACAUUCCUUUUGGUGUAAAUUAUAGUGUCAAUGGGUUGGAAUGCAUUUUAUAAAUGAUGUGAUUUUGACACUAUUUUUAGUGUAAGUUAUACUAUUUAAGUGUCAUGGGUUGGAGAUGGUCUAAAGCAUGACUUUUGUAAGUUACUUUGGAAUCAUGUUUGCAUGUAUUACAUAUUUAGGACCUACUCUAGAUAGUAUUGGAUUUUAUAAUGUUGAGUAUGCUGUUAUGAUCAGAAUUUUUGAAUUUUGGGUUUUAGGCUGGUGGUUUUGUUGGUGAUGACAGUACACUAGGUGCUGGAGGUGCUUCCUGUGCUCGUAUUGAAUCGUCGUACAUAAUCAGCCUGAGGGAUCUGGAAAUGAAGCAUGUAAAGGAUUUUGUUUUUAUAAAUGGUGAGACUAUUUGUGCACAUUCUGUAAUGGUGCAUUUUUUCUUUGACCGAGUUUCAAAUUAGUGGUGAUAUGAGCAGUUCAAUUCUUUUACUUGUCCUAAACAAAGGUUUCUAUAUUAUAAAAUUAUCUGGCUAUUACACCAAGACAAGAUGGGGAAAGGAGAAAAGUAGGAAAAUAUGUAACGUUUUUAAAUUGCUCUAUGCAUUUUCUAAAAGAUGUUCAGCCUGAUGUUCUGUCAAGAUUCUGGCAUUCUUUUUUGUUUUUUAUAAUUAUAAUUAUAAUUUGAACUUGAUACUGUAGCUAACAAUUGAUAUAAGCUUUCAUCACUCACCCUUAAUUGUUUAGAUGUUCAUGUUAUAAUAGAAACGUUUAUCUAUUUUGAUUGAGACUUGUUAAUAAAAUAUAAAUACCAAUUUUUUUUUGUAAUGUGAACUAUGAUAGUAGACACUCGAAGUUCUACUCAGAAUAAACGUUGAUAUCAUGUGCGGUGAAAUUGAAGAUAAAUAUAGAUAAUCAAAAUGCAAGAACUAGAAAUUUAUGCAAGUCUUUGCGUUUUAGUAAUUAAUAAGUUUGAUCAAUUUAGGAGACAUGAAAUGUAGCAUAGCUGAAUUCGGAAAUAUGUCGGUGCUUCUGGCUUUGAUUGUGGCCAUCUUUCUAACUUCUGGCCGUAAAAGCUAAAGCAAAUAGCACCUCAAUGGCUUGUAUAGAAGUUAAAAAUAUCAUGGCAUGGUGUUACAGUUGUGCUUGCCUUGAUAUGUCGCACAUGUUUAUUGGGUUUGUUAAUUUAUAACCAAAUGUAUAUUCCAUGUUACUUAGAAUUUCCUAUUACUUUAUAUAGGUUAUAUUGAGCCCGUAUUGGUUAUUCUAUUUGAACAUGAGCUUACUUGGGCUGGAAGGGUCUCCUGGAAGCACCAUACCUGCGGCAUUUCAGCACUUAGUAUUAGCACGACUUUGAAGCAGCAUCCAUUAAUAUGGUCAGCAAGUGUAUGUUCCUUUUGAUUUUGACAUAUGCUUGAUAUUUUAAGAUAUUCAAGUAGCCGAGCUUCUAUCUAUAAAUAGCUUUGGUGCAACAGUCUGGGCUCAGUAGCGUUUCUUUGCUGCAUUUUGAUUGAGUACAUAUGUGCUUGUUUGGUGUGUUCUUGGAGGCAUUUUAAAGACCAAACAAAUCUGAAAAUAUCUCUCAUUAACGAAUUCACCUUGCAAAUAUAAGUUUAUAUGGUCUCAAAAGCAAUAGCAACCUAGCUUUUACAAGAACAUAAAGUUGUGUUUAAAUCUCAAGGCGCGAAUUUAUCAAUUGAUAAACAGUAAACGCAGACUUGACAAGCCCUCUUAACGUCUCAAGCAAAUACCUGAGUUGAGUGUGCAAUGCCAAAUUGUGCAACAUAAAGAUGGGCCAACAGAAUUUAAUCCUGGAUUUGUACCAUCUUCAAUUUGAGAUUUAUAUUAGCCUAACUGAAUUAUCAUAUCAAAGUGGCAUUUUCUUUGUUUUGUGUUUUCAUAUUAUACUGGAGCCAAUAAAAUUUCAGAUCAAAGGUUUAUGAUGCAGUAAAACAAAAAAAAAUGUAUAUGAACUCAUACCUUAAUGUUUCUCCUGGAUAAGAAUAUUAAACACUAAUUUUCAAAAAUGUUUCCUUUUACUUAUUACUUAUUUGAUUAUGUAGCUUAAGUUUCAGGGUCCAUGUGAUGGUGGACAAAGGUGGAAAAGGGGUAAACAAUGGGAAAAUUACCUGUGCUCGUAGAGAAUUGGUUGUCACAAAUAUGUCCUUGGAUGUAUCAAACAAUUAUGAAUUCAUAUAUUCAUCUAUAUUCAACAAUAAGAGAUUUUAAGAGUUAAAUAUAGAUAAAUCAUUACUUGGGAGCCAAGUAAUUUCCCAAUGAAAAGAAAACUAAAUUCUUAUUAAUAUCUUUUACCAUGACUUAUUGUAGAAAACAAAUCCUUAUACUAUUCUACCAGAAUGUUCCUCAUAACUUAAUAUAAUUAUAAUACCUAAUCAAUUAUAAUCAUUAUUAUUCAUAAAUAAUAACGUAUAAUACAUUAAAAUUAACUUAUUAAUACCUUGUUCCCCAUCAAGCUCCUCCCCUUUAAAAACAACUCGACCACUCUCGUUGCUCAGACUCGGGUAUGGAGUGUUGGACAUGACACACAUCCGAGUGUCGGACUUGGAAAUGCUUAAAGUUUAGGACACAAGAACCCCUUAUGAAUUUCAGAUACGAGUAAGGGGAUAUGACAUAAUGGACUAAUAAUAUAUGUGUAUUAUAUAUGAUAUACUUAAGUGCUAGGUUAUGUCGUUAUUGUCCCUUAUGAAUUUAUUAAUUUCUUGUUCAUCAGCAACUGCGGUUAAAUACAAAUUUAUCCUAUUUGUGGUAUCAUUUUUUUAUUAAUGUUAUCUAUUUUUGAGAAAACAGGUUCUAAAAGUAGAAUAUCUAUGAUUCUUGAAUGUUGUGUCAUAUCUUUUCUCUUCUUGUAUUGUCAUUCUUGAAAGGUUGGCAAUUUCUAGCAUUUAUACUGACUCACAUGUUUUCUUGUUCUAGAAUCUUCCUCACGAGGCAUACAAGCUUCUUGCUGUGCCCUCUCCAAUUGGUGGUGUUAUUGUUAUUAGCACGAAUUCUAUUCAUUAUCAUAGCCAGGUAAUUAUUUGUUCAUAUUAUAGCAAUUAAAAAUUCCAUUUUUGCAUCUUCUUGUUUCCUAUUUUUGCUCUCUUUGUUUUCUUGUUCUAAACCAUCAUUUCACUUGGCCAGUCAGCAUCAUGUAUUUUGGCUUUAAACAACUUUGCAGUGUCUGUUGACGGCAGGUCAGAUUUUCUACUACUUGUGUUUUCUUUUCCUGCCUUAUUUCUUCUUCUAAAUCUCACCAAUGGUUUUGCAAUUUUGAGUUUGUCUUCAGUCUCUAAGCGUAAAAUGUUUUGUUCUUAUUGAGACCUGUUUCAGUUGUACACUUCCACAAUAAGAUUUAUUUUUCCUAUAUCUUUUCAUAGAAUCUUGUAUUUGUUGAUCAGAAUAUCUGAUGCACCAAGUAUAUCAGUCUUAAAAAUAAGGCUUGUUUUACAUACCUUAUUGAGAGGUGAUCAUUACUCAAGUUAUUUAUAGUGAUUUACAUGUGAGAAUGUUUUUUACUACAUAUAAGUUAUCAGAUAUAUUGAUGGUUCAGUUAAUACUGUCUGAAUUGUAAGUUGUAGGAAAUAAAAAUUAAACAUAUAAUUCUUGAAGUUGCAUGUACUUACUGACAUUUUGUCAGUUUGAACUUGACAGUCAUGUUAAUUUGGACUGAUUUUUUUUUUUUUAAAGUUGUUGGUUAAACAUGCGCAAGUGACUUUGGAUUUAUUAAUCUGUGAAGAGGCAAUAAAUUAAAGAAUUCCUUACUCCUGAUAGAAAGAUAUAAUAAGUAUAUAAGUAUAUAACACAACCUUGGCAAAACAAACAGAGAUAAAUAAAAGAAAGCCAAUAACAACUGAAUUUCCUUCUUUGUAUACAUAUUUGGGGGAUCUUGUCAAGAGGAGUCUGACUAGUAACAGUGAUAGUAUCAUUAAGGAUAUUAUAACUAGCAGUAGUACUAGCUCACUAAGGGUAGUUUGGUCAUUUGACGGAAUAAGUAAGCCUAGACUAGUACAAAUACCAAACUCAGGUUUCAUUUUAUGAUGUUGAACACUAUCAGAAAAUGAAAUUAGUUUCCACCAUCUCUUUCUCUCUCUAAAGUUCUGUUUACUUUCUCUCUCUAAAACUGAUUUCUGUGCUUUGUAUGUGCAAAUCUCUCUGACUUCUCUAUCUCUGUGACUUAAUUCCCUCUCUUUCUCUGUUUUUCUGUGAUCUCUACCUAGAAUCUGUUAAUUCUCUGCCUUUAUUUUUGUAUUUCUAAACCCUAGAUCCUGACAGAUCUAUAUAAUCCUAAUUCUCGCACUCGAACACGUGAGAAUUCUGGUCCCUCCAAAAUAGGAGAUUAUUGUAUUUUGCAGGUGAUAUAUCAUUUUGUUUUCAUAUAUGUGUUGUUUCUUUUUGAGACUAUGUUCCUCAAAAAGAAUUUCUGUUGAUACUUUAAAAUUGGGGAAAUGCUCCAAAUAAAAGACAUCAUUUUAUCUUAACAAUAGGCUCAUACAGUGCUCGACUACUUGGCUCCUCCAUCUGUAGUCUCUACUCUUCUGGCUAAGCUCACUACUUCUUUGUUAAGAAAUAAAGAGCAGUUUCGGCACAACUUUGAGGUUCAGGAAAAACAAUGUAGUAGUUUGGAUAUGCCCAAAACUUACUACAUCCUUUUUUUUUUAAGUUUCUAACGAAAGUGUAGUUACUUGCAGGAUUAAAAUGUCACGAUAGAUCUAAUAUUUUCUUUGUUAGCUUGUUGCGGUCAUAUUUUUGUUUGAUUAUUCAUCAGUGGUGUACUACUUGUCAUGUCUGUUUGUAAUCUCCAUUCAUCCAGUAAGCUUGUCAUUUGUCAUUGCUUAUAUUAAGAGUUGAACGCUACUUUCAAACUUUGAUUUUAAAGUGGGACGAUGUAGUAUUUUGAGUUCAAUUUGGAUUUAAUAUAUACUAAUUCUUGACAUAACUCCUAUUUAGUUCAAAUUCUAAGUUGCCUCUGUAGUUUUAUUAUAUUCAAGGGUUUUCCUUAUCCUGUUGUAAUCUUACUUUGUUAAUUGUUGUUGUGUUAGUGAUUAAGACUUUCCUAGCAUAUACAGAACAGUAGAUUUACAUCUUACAUAAAGUAAUACCUUCUAUCCUGCCAGUCAAGAGACAACAAGAUCAAAUUUCAGUCUGGAGCUAGAUGCUGCUAAUGCGACUUGGUUAUCAAAUGACGUAGCUAUGCUUUCAACAAAAACUGGGGAACUGCUUCUGCUGAAACUUGUUUAUGAUGGACGGUGGGUGUCCUUAUAUUCCUCUCAUUUUUCUGUGGCAAAUUAUCCUUCCUACGACCCUAAUGGAUUUUUAUUACUUUUCUACUCCCUCUGUCCCAAAAUAAGUGUCACUUUGACUUUCUGCACGUAAUUUAAGGUGCAAGGAAAACAUACUUCUAUACAUUAUUUUCCAAAUUUUCUUUUUCUGAAUAAAAAUAUAGAUGUUAAACUUUUUUUAGAAAAAGAAAAUUUGAAUAAUAAUAUAUAGAAGUAUGAUUUUUUUGCACCUCAAAUCAUGUGAAAAAAGUCAAAGCGACACUUAUUUUGGGACAGAGGGAGUAAUAUUUACUGUCUUCUGUCUUUACUAAGCCUUUCAUAAAACUGCUCAUAUCUUAUUUUCAUUCUACAUUGAAUUUUUCCCAAGGAGAUUCUGUUGAAGAACUAUAUUUUUUGUCUGCCUUCUCUUGAGCAUAGAUACUCUAUGAGGUUUAUGUGUUUAGAAUCUGUCAUUAAGGUUACUCUUGGGCUGUUUUGCAGCAAGCAAAAUUCUGAAUAUUUAGACAUUUAAAUUUAAUGAGUAUAAAUUAAAAUUUUUCUGCGAAGACUUUUAUGGUUUAUGGUUUAAUUAUGCAACUUUUCACUUUGGGUAAUGAAUCCUUUAGUAGUUAUUCAAGGUUUAAAGUCUUCUCUUUGAUAUUGUGGAAAGGGAGUGCCUACAUGAAAAAUUUGAUAGUUGAUAACGAUAGAGAUUUGACAAUUUCAUAACAUUUGCCAACUUUUCUUAAUGCUUUAAGUUGUACAAUACUCAAGUUGACAAUCUUGUAUAUUGCGAGUGUCUAUCCUCUUCUAGUCAAGCCAAGGAACUAAUAUGAUCUUGUGGUGUUGAAGGUUUAAUGUGGAAGACUUUCAUUUGACAUUUCAUUGUUGAUUAUGUUGAAGUUGUGUUCAGGUCACGAAAAGUGAUGGAAGUUGAACCCAUAUUAAUUUUUCCAACAAACUUAGAUCACAAGUAGCCACAUAUAACUUUUGAAAUUUAGUCGAUGCAUAGACAACAUUUUGUUUGUUCUUUAUUUCUAUAAAUGAGUGACUUAGUUUUUAAGGUCUUUCUUUCCUUCCACAGGGUUGUCCAAAGACUUGAUUUGUCCAAGUCUAAAGCUUCAGUGCUUACUUCAGUGAGUAUUAUAUCCUUGACCAAUUAUGAGUUGUUGGUAGGACCAAUGGGUGUAUCUGUUCUUAUUUGGUAUUUUAAUUUUUUAGGGUAUCACAACUAUUGGAAAUUCAUUAUUUUUUCUGGCUAGUCGGCUGGGAGAUAGUUUGCUUGUGCAGUUUACAUCUGGUGUAGGUGCAUCUACGUUGCCUCCUGGUAUGAAAGAAGAGGUGUGUCCAAAUAUCUUCGAAGUGUUCUGGUCCUAUGCACUUUCAUUAUUUUUUUAUAAGUUAUUGGCCUAUCAAAUCUCUUCUUUUGAGUUUUGACUAUGUAAAUUUAUUGUUUGGCUGUGUAUGAAUGGAAGAUGUUUCUGAAAAUUUUAAUAUAUAAUAUAUUAAUUGUUCAGUAUUAAUUAAUUCUGUAAUAGACUUUGGGACUUUGGAGAUAGUAAGCUUCUGUUUUGUUAACCAUACAGGUUGGAGAUAUUGAUGUUGAUGUUCAUCAAGCAAAGCGAUUAAGAAGGUCCUCUUCUGAUGCUUUGCAAGACAUGGUCAAUGAUGAGCUUUCUUUGUAUGGUUCAGGUCCAAAUAAUGCAGAGUCAACCGAGGUUUGUCAUUUUUUGAUAAGAGCUCCAGUUUUGUGGAUUUCAUGUCAUGCCCUGUACGAAGGCAUGUAUUGUUUUAGUAAUUAACAUUUUUGAUUUGUGCAGAAAAUAUUUUCGUUUACUGUCCGAGAUUCUCUGAUCAAUGUUGGCCCUCUGAAAGAUUUUUCUUAUGGUUUACGAAUUAAUGCUGACCACAAUGCAACUGGUAUUGCUAAACAAAGUAAUUAUGAACUGGUUAGUUUUGCUGGUUAGCUUUAACUUUAUUCAAGUUUUUGUUGGAAGACUGUAACUUAUUAUGUUCUUUCUUCGUGUUGGCUGGUUCUAAUAGUACGAUUACAUUAUUCAUGUUUGUCUUGGAUAUAUAUCUGCUAUGGCUUUUGCUUCCUCAAUUGUUACUUAAUUGAUUUAUUCUUAUUAGUCCGCUUUCAUGAAGUUUUGGAUUUGCAGAUAUAGAUGAGAAUUUAGAAGUAACUGUUUUUAUUUGCAAUAUUUUAUAGGUAUGCUGUUCCGGCCAUGGAAAGAAUGGGGCUCUCUGCGUGCUUCAAAAAUCAAUUCGACCUGAAGUAAUCACUCAAGUAUGUCUAUAUCUGUAGUUCCCUUUCAGUUAUUUUUUUUAAAACUUAUUGGAAUCUUCAUUUCUGGAAAUUUUAAUUUCAUGAAAAGUAAAGAGUGUAAUUAACUAUUUAGCAAAGUAAAGAGUGUAAUUAACUAUUUAGCAAAACAGUAGUGGAACGUUUGCAGUAUGUUUUGAGUGGCUAACUUCUCUCAAUAUCUUUAUUUUACAGAUAACAUUUAGCCUUUUGUUUUUAUUACUUGUUCUUUUUAUGUUCCUACAAUUUUAGUAGGAUUCAGGAACUAGUGACGUGUAAAUUUCAGUAUCAGACUGCAGCUAUAGUUUUAGUAGGAUUUAGGAACUAGUGAUGUGUAUAUUUUUCUUUUUAUUCCUUCUUAAAUUAUCUUUCUACCAAACCCAUCUAUAGUGUCACCUAAAUUUCUCCUUUUGAUAUUCUGAAUGUCAUAUCACAAUGUGUUUUCCUGCAAUGUAAGAUGAAGUAGGAUAUAAUCAUUUUAAUUGUAAUGUCUCUACUCUGUAAAUAAUCAAACAAGUUGUAGCUUGUUAUUUUGCCCAGAAAUUGGUUAAAGACCUGAAUUUCUUAGUUCUAGUUGACCAUAUUGUUUUUGUACCAAGGUUUUUGGCUUGGAUUAUAGCAUGCAGUUAUCCUCAAGUUUAAUUUGUUUAAUUAAAUCAACUAAGAAGAUAACACUUUUUAUACUGUAUUUGUCAUUUGCUGAUAUAGAUGGGGUGCACAGUUAUCGAAAUGACAUUUUCAUUUACCCACACACAAUACUUUUUCGUAUAUAAAAUUUUCGAAUCCGCCCUUUCUUUGGGCUUCAUAGUGCAUAAUAGUCUGCGCCUAUAUGGAGGAGUAAACUAAUACACAUCAUUGUGUGUCUGACACAAAUGCCAAUAUAUCCUAUCAGAAUGGUUUGAUUAUAAUGUAUAUGUGACUUGUAUUUUUGAAGGAACCUAUACCUGGUUGCAAGGGACUAUGGACUGUUUAUCACAAGACCUCGCGCAGUCAUACUAUUGAUUCUUCUUCCAAGAUGGCAUCUGAUGAUGAUGAAUAUCAUGCAUAUCUGAUUAUUAGUCUGGAGAAUCGUACUAUGGUAACAUUACUAAUUUGUUAUUUGCUUCUAGUAGUUUAAGUUGCAGGUGUAACCUAUGAUUUUGCUGUUGUGUAUAUAGGUUCUUGCGCAAAAUACGUGUUGUUUAUAUGUUAUAUGAAAUAUUUAUGAGGAACAAAUAUUGGAGGAUUUUUCUAUUUCUUUCACUACGAGUAUUUUUGUUUUCAUUUUAUUUCUUGUAAUAUAUUCAAAAUCGUUGAAUCAUUGUUUUGAUGUGCCUUUAAACAGUUUUAGUUGUUUUGGUGUCUAUUGCUUCCCUAUACGGUUGUAGGAGUUGGUAGAGUGUCUGAGCCUAUGGGUCCAGUCUCCAUUCAGAAGGGCCUCUUCCAAUCUGUGCAAGUGGUUAUUUGCAACUUUUUUAAUCACAAACAUCACUGUGCAUGAACUGUAGCAAGGGAAUGCUUGUUUUGGGUGUUCAACUGUAUUUAGCAUGAUGAACGAUAUAGUUAUCUUAUUUGCUGUUAAUUUGGAGUUAUAAUGGUGCUAUUGUAUUUGCUGCUUCCUUCAUCCUAAUUGCUUCUGCCACACAAGGCUUGCUAUAUUUAAGUAUUAUGAAAGAAUGCCACAUUGUUUUAAAUUUGUGUGCAGUUGUUUCAUAUAGUUUACAGGUUGAAAUUAUUUAGCGGUUACAGAACUUUCGUUGUUUUUCUUGCCAUUUUUAUAAUUAAUUCAUUCCUCUUCCCUAAUCAUCUUUGAGAGAGGCUUUAAAAAGAUGUACUGACCCCAGGGAGGGUGUAGGGGGAACCGAGCCACUUUGCUCUCUGUACAGUCCUUUUUAAUUAUGAUGGUGCUGUUCGUGCAUAUAGAUUGAGUUCGUGCAUACAGAUGACUUGAUGGCUUGUAAAAUAUAUACCUUAUGAUCAGUUUAUUCUGUCAAGUAUAUGCAUCUAUCAAUGUGCUAAAGUAUUCAAUGGUCAUUGAUGGCUCGUAAUAUAUAUACCUUAUGAUCAGUUGACGGGGUUGCUGAAACUGUACGUGAGUUGUAAUAUUCUGGGACGUAAUAGUUAAUAUGGAAUAGCUGGAAGCUUUUUCAAAUUUAAUUUGGCGAUGAAAUGGUUUUUUUUUUUAUAGGCCCUGUUUGGGAGUUAGCUGUUAGCUGUAGCUGAUUGAAUUAGCUGUUUUGACUAGCUGAUUGAAUUAGCUGUUUUGACUAGCUGAUUGAAAUUAGCUGUUUUGGAAGAAAGUGUUUGGUAAAUAGCUGAUUGAAUUAGCUUUUUGUACUUUACCGAGACACAUUGCCAAUCAUCUAAUUGAAAAAGCUCCUCCCAAUAGCUUUUUCAAAAUUAGCUUUUUGGAUCCAAAAAGCUAUUUCAAUAAGCUAACUACCAAACACUAACAUUAGCUUUUUCAUUUGGUCAAACAUCUAAUUUGAUUCAAAAAGCUAAUUUCAUCUCAAAAAGCUAACUUCCAAACACCCCCAUAGUAUUUGCUGUAUGCUGAGGGUAUUGAUUAGCAAUUAUGUGAUUCAUAGGUACUACAAACAGUCAACAAUCUAGAGGAGGUUACUGAAAGUGUCGAUUAUUAUGUGCAAGGAAGUACUGUUGCUGCUGGAAAUCUUUUCGGACGGUAAUUUUACUUUUUUAUUUUUGUCCUUGGACUGUGGAUUUUUACUUCCUAAUGCAGCCAUGGGUGAUGAUAAUAACCUAUGAUAAUAUAGGGCUUAGUGCUCUUAAGUAUAUACUCGCCUCACAUAGGUGAAAUAGGAAGGAUUUAUAAUGUGAAUACAGGGAGGGGAUUAUUGCAGAAACAGAAUUUUAUUGUAUGGACUAAUUACAACCAUUCCAUUAAUUUAUACCAUGUACUUAGAUAAGUCUCCUAAGUACUUUUCUCUGUAGUGUCAUGAUAUCCAAACUAUUCACAGUAUCUCCUGAGUCGUGUGUCAAAGAAAUGUUAUAUCUGUAAUUUUUUGAUUAACUAAGAUGUGGAGAGAUUUGUUAGGAACCGAGAAGCAAUAGACCCGAAUUAAGGAGUUAGAACACAUAUUUAGGUAAGGAAUUGGGUGACUAGAAAGAGACACUUCAUGAUCUGUUAAAAGAAUUAGAGUAUAUUUAGGAAUAAGUUGGAGAGAGAUAAAGAAAUCUUUCAAUAUUUAUAAUGCCUUUCCUUUAUUUUUUAUUGUUUUUUAAAGUAUACUUGUGAGCACAUGAACUGAAAAGACAACAAGAAAUCCUAAUGUUACCAAUAGAAAAGGACUACAGGAUAACUGACCAGACUAAAGUAUGCUCAAGCUAAUACAAUGCGACUCAAACCAAUACAAAACACUAGAUUCUGGAUGCUGCUUGUGUAUUUUUUACAGUCUAUCUCCUAUGUCAAUUUUUGUAACACAUCGUCAAGGAUAAAAUCUUGGGUUUGAUUAUCAGUUUGCUCACUGAAGUGACCUGCGUUACUUAUGAGUGAAGUAAUUGAGGUUUCAGAAGUAACUUUGGUAACUAAAAUGAUAUCUUACCCUUCAAUCUUGCAACUUGUUUUCAUCAGAAAAUAAAAUUCAUAAUGAGGUGGAGAGUAAUCAGCUUAUUGUUGGAGGUAUCCAACUGCCUUGUCGUACUUAAUUUACAGUAGUAAAGACUAAAGAGUGCAUAAAUAUUAUCUUGGACAAAUACAAUUUAUGUUGGUGUUGCACAGAAAUUUGAUGAUAUCAUGUUUUCUUUAUGUACAGGUAUUCUAUUUCCCUCAUAGUCAUAGUAGUCCAACCAUCUUUGAAAAAUGGAACAGUCGUAGAUAUUGGGUUGAUUAUCAUUUUGCUCACAGUGAUCGAGUGACCGGUGAAACUUGCUAUUGUAAAGUAACUGAGGUUCAAGAUUUCAGAAGUAACUUUAGUGAUCAAAAUGACAUAUAACCCUUGAAUCUCGUAACUUGUUUUUAUUAAAAUUUAAACUUCUCCAUAAUGAGAUGGAAUUACCUUUAAUGCUUUUAGCAGUUUUUUUGAAAAGGUAAACAGAUAACAGUCAACCAUAUGUUGUGUCAUUGAGUUGAUUACAGAAAAGAAAAUUACACUAUGAUUGGUGAAUUAUAGCCCAUUAACUCAAGACCUUGAAAAAGUUUAUGUUGUCCGUUCUGACCAAGUGGUGAACCUCUAUUGUUACAGAUGUAUUAAUUUUGUAGACCCUUGUGUAGCAAUAAUUAGAUCUUGCUUAAACAAUAAAGUAUAAUCAUCUUUAUGUUUAGGGAUUAUAGUUAUUUUUUCUUGUGUACUUCAAGAGGUGAUUCCAGACUUCUAACUUGAGCUUUGAACAGGCUUAGAGUAAUACAAAUCUAUGCUCGUGGUGCUCGAAUUCUUGAUGGUGCUUUUAUGACUCAGGAGCUGAACUUUAAGGCUCCAAACUCUGAAUCUGGUUCAGGGUCUGAGAGUCCAACAGUAUCAUCGGUUUCUAUAGCCGAUCCUUAUGUGCUUCUAAGAAUGAAUGAUGGAAGUAUUCAGCUUAUUGUUGGAGGUAUCCGACUGCCUUGUCAUACUUAUUUUACAGUAGUAAAGAAUGCAUAAAUAUUAUCUUGGACAAAUACAAUAUGUUGGUGUUGCACAAAAAUUUAAUGCUACCACCAUGUUUUCUUUAUGUACAGUUCUUUAUUUUCCUCACAGGAGCCUAGCCAUCUUGGACCCCCCCACCACCUAUCAUGCUUUCUUAGUGUGCAGUUCUUUCAUUUUCACUUUGUUAUCUUAAAAAAAGACUUGCAUUAUACAUAAGUUUGUAGUCUGUUUUUUCUGCUAAUAUGAUGUUCAAAAAGUUGUGGCAGUAUUUCAUAUAUUCCUUUGAAAUUCAGACACCUUUUUCUCCUUUAAAGUCGCCAAGGGCCCAAGGAAAAGGUUUGGCCCACAUAUUAUCCCAGAAAGAAAAUGAAUAUUCGUGUUUGACAUUCAACUCCCACUAUAUUAGAAUUAUAUUCGGGGGAAUCAAUAAUCUUAGAACUGUCCUCUCGUCUUUCAAUUAUGCACACACAGCUAGCUAGUUUCACAUAUAUCUAUCUGAGGGUAGGUCAUGAAACCAUCACCUAAAUUGUGUGUUUCUCAUAUAAAUUUGACUGCAUUUUAUUUCACGCUGCAGAUCCUUCGUCUUGCACGGUCUCUACCAGCUUCCCAGCAGUAUUUGAAAAUUCGAAGAAAUCGAUAGCAUCGUGUACACUUUAUCACGAUAAAGGUCCAGAACCAUGGCUUCGAAAAACUAGUACCGAUGCUUGGCUUUCAAGUGGUGUAGGGGAGGCAAUUGAUGGCUCUGAUAGUACACUUGAUCAGGGUGAUGUAUACUGUGUUGUUUGUUAUGAAAGUGGUAUCCUCCAAGUAUUUGAUGUACCCAACUUUUGUUGUGUGUUCUCUGUGGAUAACUUUGAAUCAGGGAAGGCCUACCUUGGUGAUACUUUUGUUCAGGAAUCAGCUAAUGAUUCUCAAAAUCAUCUGAGAAAAAAUUCCGAAGAGACUGAAAACGGUAGGAAAGAGAAUAACCAGAGGAUCAAGGUUGUAGAAUUGGCCAUGCAUAGAUGGUCGGGGCAACAUAGUCGUCCUUUCCUUUUUGGAAUCCUGACCGAUGGGACUGUUCUUUGUUACCAAGCUUACUUGUAUGAAGGUUCAGAAAGUUCUGUUAAAAUUGAGGAAAUUGUUCCGGUGCAUGAUUCUGUUAACCUUAAUAAUGCAAGUAGUUCUAGAUUGAAAAAUUUGAGAUUUGCCCGUGUCCCAUUAGAUACAUAUAUAAAGGAAGAGAUAUUGCCUGAAACUCCAUCUCCAAGAAUUACAACGUUUAAGAAUGUUGGUGGGUUCCCAGGAUUGUUCAUAGCUGGGUCAAGGCCGAUUUGGUUUAUGAUAUUUAGAGAACGACUUCGGAUUCAUCCACAGGUGUGCCUCUGAUUAUGUAUAUAUAAUUUUCUUAAACUAUAAUUAUCUUUGGAGUAGUUGGUCAGUCUUAUGUAUACUUGUACCCUGUGAAUGUAGUGUUUAGUUGCCAAAUUAGAGGCAAAUGUGAUAAAUUUCUGUGUUAUGAUAAACUAUGUGUAGAAUAUGGUUUCAAAUUGAAAAACAUUAAUGCACUUGAUGCUUAAUAUGUAAUCGGACAUCAUUAGGACCUUUAUUGGUAUAUUCUUUAUAGUAUUAAUUGUCUGGGUGUCUGGGCUUGUUGAUGCAUCUGGUGAAAAAUAAUUAACUAAAUAAAGUAGUCACUCUUUCAAGAUUGUGAUCAAGUACCUUGUUGCAAAGAAAAGGGAAUAGGUAAAUUUUUAUUCUAGCUGAUUUGCAACAAUAUUAUUGCAGCUUGCCCGAUACUAAACAAUUAUUUCUUUAAAUUAGUACAGUACUGGCUGCUGCUAGUUUUUUUUGGUAGGAAUGCGCAUAAUAGAUAAACUCUUUAUGAAUUGAAAACAUCUCUUUUUCUUUUUUGUCAUUUUGAGUUUGUACUUUGAUUCACUUCUCAAUUUUGUGCAAAAAUGGCUCAUUCAAAGCCCUAUCACUGUUUGUUGCUGCUCUGUAAGAUUCCUAUUAAGGUUAUGAAUAUAGCCACAGUCUAUUUUUCUUUAUUUUUUCAUUUGAAUUGCAAAUAUUAUGAUAAGAUGAUGCCAUUACAAGUUCUUACAUAGCGUCAUCUUUAAUUUUUUUUUUGUGUGACAGUUAUGUGAUGGACCCAUUGCUGCCUUCACCAUUCUGCACAAUGUUUACUGUAAUCAUGGGAUAAUCUAUGUUACACAACAGGUAUGAAAUUUUAGUUUUGUUUUUAUACUCUCGUUCAUAAAAGGCUUCUUUUCAAUUUAUCUAUUUUUCUUGACAGGGUACAUUGAAAAUUUGUCAACUUCCGUCUUUAUUAUGCUAUGACAACUAUUGGCCAGUACAAAAGGUUUGGCAUCAUCUUUAAAUUUGUUUAUAGGUCUUUAAGAAUUUAUCAUUGUUAAGAUACAGCCAUUUUUUUUAACAUUAAUUUUCCUAAUUUUUUUUUGGUCAGAUUCCAUUGAAGGGCACUCCCCACCAGGUCACUUAUUUUGCUGAGAAGAAUUUGUACCCACUUAUUGUAUCAGUUCCAGUAAGUAUAUCAUCUUGCAUCGAGUCCAUUAUUGGUGAAAGAACAGAUCCUUAUAUUACUCAUUGUUUAUAAGCUAAAAAUAACACACGUUUAGAAUUUUUUUUACUCCCUCUGUCUCAUUUUGUUGUCCACGGAUGAAAUUCAACAUUUUAUUCAGUAUCACUUAAACAAGCGAAAACUUUGUAUAAAUACGUAUUAGUUUUCAUAAAACUUAACAAAAUCAAGACUCAGUUUCCGUAUUAACUGAAUGGGGACAAAAUUAUUGGGGUAAACAUACAAGGAAAUGAGGUAAAGAAAAAUGGGAGGGAUGGAGUAGUAAAGAUCCAUGACUCCAUGAUCAGUCUAUCUUUUCAUUUAAUUCUUCACUUUUCUGUUUGUGCUUGUUAUAGUUUCUUUAUUGCACUUUAUGUCAUGUAUGUUGUGUGUACUAUCUGCUUUUUGAAUUAGUUCGCUCGAUGAAUGUAAGUUAAUACUAGGAGGCUUUAGUUUGGUAUGUCUAUUCAGUAUUAUCACUCCUCUACUGUUGAUGUUGUACUUUCUGUAGCCACUUACAUUGCUCACAGUGUAUUUAAAAAUAUUUUGUUACAUUAAACAUAUGAUGUACAUAUCAUAUCUGCGUCUUUAUAGACUUUUAGAGUGUUUUUUUCUGCUUGAAUCCUCUGGACCAUCACUUGACAAUUUUGUUAAACUUUUAUUGCAGGUUGUUAAGCCAUUAAAUCAAGUCUUGUCAUCUUUGGUUGAUCAAGAAGCUGGUCAUCAGAUUGAACAUGAUAAUUUCUCUUCUGAUGGAACCUACGCAGUAGAAGAAUUUGAGGUUCGGAUCCUGGAACCAGAGAAGUCUGGUGGUCCCUGGCAGAUCAGGGGUACGAUUCCCAUGCAAAGCUCUGAAAAUGCGUUAACUGUUCGCGUGGUUACUCUAUUUGUAAGUCUUAAGGUUAUUCUCACAUUUUCUUUAUUUUAAGAUAGAACCUUCUUUUUUAAAUGAGAAUCGGAAUCCUAUGUUCCUAUGAGUAUACUAAUUACCAUUCUCAUUCUUCUAUACUGAUUUCUAUGCUCUUUAUAACAGAAUACAACAACUAGAGAAAAUGAAACACUUUUGGCCAUUGGGACUGCCUAUGUACAAGGGGAGGAUGUUGCUGGACGAGGGCGUGUACUCCUGUUCUCUGUAGAGAGAAUUGCUGAGAGUUCUCAGACUACGGUAAAUGUGUUAGUUAUUCAAUCUUCUUAUUGCUACUCCAGUUUUUACAUCUAUGUCGUUUGCAAAAUUAUACACAUUUCCUAUUGUACAUUCUGCAUGAAUUUCACAUACAGUGAAAUUUCUAUUGGUUUCUGGUUGCUGUUGAUAUUCUUUUUUGGGUUUUUGGAUUAGUAUGGUCUUUUGGUGUACACUUCUUGAUAUACAGUUGUUUCAUAUUUACUAUAUUAUUCAUUCACGUGUCAAACAUUUGCAUGUUUCUUCCAGAUUUCCGAGGUUUACUCCAAGGAGUUGAAAGGUGCUAUAUCUGCCGUAGCUUCACUUCAAGGUCAUCUGUUGAUAGCUUCUGGUCCAAAGGUUAUUUUACACAAGUGGACGGGUUCUGAUCUGACCGGGGUCGCCUUCUACGAUGCUCCCCCUCUCUAUGUCGUGAGCUUAAAUAUUGUAAGUACCAUUUGUCCAUUUGUUCCUCUCACUCUUCUUGUUAAUCACAGAAUCUGAAAAUUCUCUUCAAAUUAUCAUUUUACAGCAUAUAGCAGGGUAUCAGCAGAUAAAGAUAUUUCUGAGAAGCUUAUACCAAUGUUAGCAUAAAAGCUGUUACAUUUGUUUCUAUACAAAAUACACGUGGCACAAUAUUAUUGCAGGGUUAACAAGUUCUGUCUCAUGCCCAGCCUUCAUGCAAUAUAUUCCUCUCUAGUAUAUGAAACUUAAAAAAUCUCUUUACUGCAACAUGGCUGCUUUUCUCGGUUUGUAGACGUUAAAAAAGAAGAAAUCAAGAUUUUCAUUUUAUGUGUAUAACUGUACUCAAUCUGUAGAUCUAUCAUUCCAUAUUUGUAUCUAGUAAAAAUACAUGUCAGGUAUCUAAGAUUCAUUUUCACCCUCAAACUGUGUAAGAGUAUUGAUUCCAUAUAUUAGGAGAUGUAAUGGUGAG
rnacentral:lncRNA from 1 species